AUGGCAGCUCCGACGAGAGGGCUCGUCCUCGCCGUCCUUCUGGCGAUCGCCGUCGCCAACGCCGAGGCGGCGUCCGUCGUCGUCGGCCUGGCCAAGUGCACCGACUGCACCAGGAAGAACAUGAAGGCCGAGGAAGCUUUCAAAGGUCUUGAGGUGGCGAUCAAGUGCAAGAACGUCCACGGUGACUACGAGAGCAAGGCCGUGGGUGCCAUCGACGGCACCGGCGCCUUCAGCGUGCCCCUCGCUUCUGACCUCCAUGGCGCCGACUGCGUCGCUCAGCUCCACAGCGCCGCCUCCAACGUGCCGUGCGCCGGCCAGGAGCCGUCAAAGAUCGCGCCGGUGUCUGAGAGCACCACCUUCAGCAUCAUCGCCGGUGACAACACCGCCACACUGUCCGAGGCAUCGCCAGAGUGCGCGUCCAUGAAACUGUGCGGACCGAUCAAGAAGCACAUCAUCGAACACUUCCACCACAAGAAGCCCGUGCCACCGAAGCCGGAGCCCAAGCCCCAGCCUCACCCGGACUAUGGCCCCGUGCCCAAGCCGGAGCCCAAGCCGCAGCCCCACCGCCCCGACUACCACCCCGUCCCUCCCACGCCCACCUACGGCGGCAGCGGCGGCGGCGGUGGAUACCACGGACACCACUGA
rnacentral:rRNA from 1 species